GACAUGUGGCUUAGUGAGAUGAUGUAAGAGUUGGGAUCUUGGAGGAUUUUCUGAAAACAGAAGAACCAGAGACACUGCUUAAGAAGCACUGCUUUUGGCCUCCCCAGACAGGAAAGCCCAUUCCUUGUCACUUUUUUUUUUUUUUAAGUCUCCACCCCCAGACAAGGUAGCUUAGAAGAUCUGCGCUCUAGACAUUGCAUUCAGAAGUCGUGGGUCUUGGUUUUGGAUGGCUUCAUAGAAGUUCAAGUUUUUAGGACCAGGAGGCUAGCAAGGAUGCUCCUACUUCCCAAUCAUUUCCAGGAUCCAGACAGGAUUUUUUAAGACCACCCACAAACAAGCAAUUAAGAAGUGAGUUUUCAAAGGAUUCUGUAGAUAGAGCUUUCUGGAUAUAGUCG